rnacentral:lncRNA from 1 species
UGGGACUAAAGUUAGAAGGAGUUCUUUGGUAAGGUCCUCGAAGGAGUGAGAGAAAGUCUAUUCUAGAGUGAUGGUUUCUGUGUGAUGUGGCUUUAGGGAGGCUAGAAUGCUUUUCAUCUCUAUGUUGCUUUCUAUCAGAGCUUCCAGAGUCUUCUUCUUUUUCAUCAUCUCUAGUGAUAAUGAGGUUGGCACUGGAGGAGGGGGAUCCUUAGAGAUUUUCACAAAAAGAGGUCCUUUCAUUAAGAGUUCUGGCAUAUAUGGAGGGGGAAAGAAGGGAAGACUUUGACUCAUGUCGGAGAGUUCUGCAGCUAUCAGGUCCGUUGACCAGCCGGUCGCUAGACCCUGGCUAAAGAUACUCCUCAUUGUGAUCAUCCACAUAUUUUAUCUAUAGUUGGUCAGACCCUGGUUCAUUUCCUCCCUUAUCAGCUGAGCUAGCUAAUGGAGG